CCUACGGGUGGCUGCAGUGGGGAAUAUUGGACAAUGGGGGGAACCCUGAUCCAGCCAUGCCGCGUGUGUGAAGAAGGCCCUCGGGUUGUAAAGCACUUUCAGUGAGGAAGAACGCCUGGUGGUUAAUACCCAUCAGGAAAGACAUCACUCACAGAAGAAGCACCGGCUAACUCCGUGCCAGCAGCCGCGGUAAUACGGAGGGUGCGAGCGUUAAUCGGAAUUACUGGGCGUAAAGCGCGCGUAGGUGGCUUGAUAAGCCGGUUGUGAAAGCCCCGGGCUCAACCUGGGAACGGCCUCCGGAACUGUCAAGCUAGAGUGCAGGAGAGGAAAGUAGAAUUCCCGGUGUAGCGGUGAAAUGCGUAGAGAUCGGGAGGAAUACCAGUGGCGAAGGCGGCCUUCUGGACUGACACUGACACUGAGGUGCGAAAGCGUGGGUAGCAAACAGGAUUAGAUACCCCAGUAGUC
rnacentral:rRNA from 1 species